rnacentral:rRNA from 1 species
AGGACGAACGCUGGCGGCGUGCUUAACACAUGCAAGUCGAACGGUGAAGGAGAGCUUGCUCUCCGGAUCAGUGGCGAACGGGUGAGUAACACGUGAGUAACCUGCCCUUGACUCUGGGAUAAGCGUUGGAAACGACGUCUAAUACCGGAUACGAGCUCCAGUCGCAUGGCUAGGAGCUAGGAAAGUAAUUUCGGCAAGGGAUGGACUCGCGGCCUAUCAGCUAGUUGGUGAGGUAAUGGCUCGACCAAGGCGACGACGGGUAGCCGGCCUGGAGGAGGGUCGACCGGCCACGACGUGGGACUGGAGACCACGGCCCAGACCUCCGACGGGAGCAGC